UGGGCUUGACAUGCACGGAUUAACUCCCUGAAAGGGGAGCCACGCCCGCAAGGGUGGAACGUGCACAGGUGCUGCAUGGCUGUCGUCAGCUCGUGCUGUGAAGUGUCGGGUUAAGUCCCUUAACGAGCGAAACCCCUGCCGUUAGUUGCUAACGCGUCAUGGCGAGGACUCUAGCGGGACUGCCGGUGUCAAACCGGAGGAAGGUGGGGAUGACGUGUAGGAGCUCGAC
rnacentral:misc_RNA from 1 species